rnacentral:rRNA from 1 species
CAGUCGCCGCGGGAAUACGGAGGGUGCAAGCGUUAAUCGGAAUUACUGGGCGUAAAGCGUGCGUAGGCGGUGAGUUAAGUCUGCUGUGAAAUCCCCGGGCUCAACCUGGGAAUGGCAGUGGAUACUGGCUCGCUAGAGUGUGUCAGAGGAUGGUGGAAUUCCCGGUGUAGCGGUGAAAUGCGUAGAGAUCGGGAGGAAUAUCAGUGGCGAAGGCGGCCAUCUGGGACAACACUGACGCUGAGGCACGAAAGCGUGGGGAGCAAACAGGAUUAGAUACCCCCGUAGUCCCUGUCUCUUAUAC